UACGUAGGAGGCAAGCGUUGUCCGGAGUUACUGGGCGUAAAGCGCACGCAGGCGGUCUGUUCAGUUUGGAGUGACAGUUCCUGGCUCAACCGGGAAAGUGCUUCGAAUACUGGCGGUCUUGAGGGCUUCAGAGGGACACGGAAUUCCGGGUGGAGUGGUGAAAUGCGUAGAGAUCCGGAGGAACACCAAAGGCGAAGGCAGUGUCCUGGGGAGUACCUGACGCUCAGGUGCGAAAGCCAGGGGAGCGAACGGG
rnacentral:rRNA from 1 species